AAGCGGUGGAGCAUGUUGGUUUAAUUCGUAUGAUACGCGAAGAACUUACCGGGUUUGACAUGCAGGUGAUCGCCGUUGAAAGACGGUUUCCUCUUCGGAGGCACCUGCACAGGUGCUGCAUGGCUGUCGUCAGCUCGUGUCGUGAGAUGUUGGGUUAAGUCCCGCAACGAGCGCAACCCUUGUCAUUAGUUGCUACAUUCAGUUGGGCACUCUAAUGAGACUGCCGGUGACAAACCGGAGGAAGGUGGGGAUGACGUCAAGUCCUCAUGGCCCUUAUAGGUGGGGCUACACACGUCAUACAAUGGCCGGUACAAAGGGUCGCAAACCCGCGAGGGGGAGCCAAUCCAUCAAGGCCGGUCGUAGUCCGGAUCGCAGUCUGCAACUCGACUGCGUGAAGUCGGAAUCGCUAGUAAUCGUGGAUCAGCAUGUCACGGUGAAUACGUUCCCGGGUCUU
rnacentral:rRNA from 1 species